UCGGAGUUGGCACGCGCAAAAAAAGACCCCACCUAUUUCGAAAUUUUGGGUGCGGUCCUGUCAUAUAAACAAGAGAUAGAUUGUAAUUAUCAUGAAAUGCAUAACAGAUAUGUCCAGAAUGUAGAAACAAGUACAACUAAAGUUGUACUUGGUAGAAAAAUUAAGACGAAAAAAUAAAUCAAAACAAAAGAAAUUUUGAGCGUAUUUAUUCAUUUAAAUAAUAUACAGCUAAUAAAAAUCAAUUUAAGAAUCACAUUUGUUAAUUACAAGCUAUAAGUUCUCUCAAAGAGGGACAUUAUCUCAUCCUCUUUGGGAAUAAGUGCACCAGUGGCCAAUGAUUCCUUGAUUAUUUUGUAUCCCUGAGACAACAACCUAAUGAAGCACUCUACAUGGAUCUUGAUGGGCAAUCUUUUGAAAUUUUUCAACAGCUAAUGGUUUUUGACCUGAAAACGAAUCUUUUACAUCAAUAGAAAUCCAGGACGGUCGAGAGAAACGUCUCUUGACGUGGAGGAAUAAUGCAAGGCUUGAUUUAUAAGAAACACAGAUCUAUUCUUAUUUGAGACAUAUUACUCUGACAAUUAUAAUCCAUACAUUCUAUUUAUACCUAUAAAAAAUGUCACUCUACUUUAUAUGUAUCUUAAAUAAACACAAUAAUAAUAAAAACAUAAGAGAAAUAAAAGAGUCGGGGAAAAGGAAGGAAAGAAGAGACAAAUACAUAACAAUUUAUAUUAAAUAUAUAAGGUGCCACAAUUAGUGAUGAGUUAGUCCUUAUUUAGGACAAAAGACUGCAGUUCUGUCCAGUUCAGUCUCGACCUAGCCCGGUUCAGUAAUGCAUAUCAAUCCUAAAAAGUUAUACAAUUCGGUCCUGGAUGACGUCACUCAACUUCAUUUCCUCUUUUUUUUAGUUUUGAUUUAACUUAUAUAAUACUGAUAGUCCGAAGAACCGAUCUUAAGACUAGACUGGACCGAAUAAAUAAGGAUUGACACAACACUAACCACAAUGAACUAUAACAAAAAACAGAGCUCUCUGAAGAACUCUACAAUGGCGAUAUAUUUUGUUAAAAUACUCCAAGUAUGCCUCUUGUCGUGCAUCGUGGGUUACAGGAAUCGUUCUUGAGCUGAAGGGAUGACACUUUUUUCAUUUCUAAGGGGCAAAUUCCUUGAAAAAGCAAUGGGUCCUAAAAAUGAAAUGAAAUCUUUGGAAACCAUAAUAUAAUUCUCGAUUGUACUCUAAACAUUUUGAAGAAAUAAGAAAUUCCAACUCUCAAGCCAUUCUAACAUUGUUUAAACAUCUAAAACCUAAAGUUUCAAGGCUCACCAAAAACUCCAACAAACCCAUUUUCAUUCGGGAGAACAAUGCUGGUGCUAAAAAAAAUUAAUAAUUAAGGAAAUCUCAAGCAACUUUUUUAUUUAGAAUUUCAGGUAAAAAAAGAUCCCAACAAUUUCCGGAUCAUAUAUACUUAACUCUUUAUGUGGAACCUUCUACUUCCGAAAAGAGAAAUAGACUUAGUGGACAUGAAUCUAAUUUCAUCAACAAUAGAAGAUAAAACUUCUUAUAAUGAUAUAUAUGAAUAUUUUUUUUUGCAUUAGUUUCUUUAUCGUUAGAAAAUAAUUAUUGUAUGCUGUAUUACAGAUAUUUCUCCUGAGGUAAAACAUCUAAAGGAAAUAAAUACCAACAUACAAAUCCAACCUGGAGUCUAUGAAGCAAAAAUAAAGAAAUUUAAGAAGAAGUUGAAGGAGAAAGGUGUCAAAAUUUGGGACGCAGAAUCAAAGUUUAAGUCUUUAAAAAUGUGCCUCUCUUCAGUAUUGAAUUCAAACCGUAUAAAAUUUUUAAAUGGCAAGUCUUCACGUUCCAAAAAUUCAUCUAAUGAAACCAUGGAUAAUUCACUUCAGUUAAGAUUCGUUGUGUAACUAUAUGUUGUCCAAUUAAUCUAUUGCGACUUUGUACUGUUUGGAUGAAUUUGCAAAAAUACAGGCUUUAUUCAAAUCUUAUGUAAAUCAAUUAAAAAAAAAUACAAAAAAUUGUAAACUCAAUAACUGAAGUAGCGGUUCCAUUCAUUCAGUCGUCCAUAAAUUUCGCCAAAUGUCAUAAAAUUUUAUUUUUUACCAUGUCUGAGUAUGUAUGUUAGUAUAAGAAUGAACAUACAUUUACGAAUGCAAACUACGAUUAUCAAAGAAAAUAGAAUAGCUUCUUCUACUUUCGGAAGACGAAAAAUGUGUACGCGAAAUUAAUAUGCAUUUAUUGUAUUAAGUUCUUUUUGGGCCGUUUGAUAUAUGUCACAAGGGGCACUGAAAUCUUGUGACGUAACUCUUCUUAUAGAACUCUGA
rnacentral:lncRNA from 1 species